rnacentral:rRNA from 1 species
UGGGGAAUUUUGGACAAUGGGCGAAAGCCUGAUCCAGCAAUGCCGCGUGUGUGAAGAAGGCCUUCGGGUUGUAAAGCACUUUUGUCCGGAAAGAAAUCCUUGGCUCUAAUACAGUCGGGGGAUGACGGUACCGGAAGAAUAAGCACCGGCUAACUACGUGCCAGCAGCCGCGGUAAUACGUAGGGUGCAAGCGUUAAUCGGAAUUACUGGGCGUAAAGCGUGCGCAGGCGGUUUGCUAAGACCGAUGUGAAAUCCCCGGGCUCAACCUGGGAACUGCAUUGGUGACUGGCAGGCUAGAGUAUGGCAGAGGGGGGUAGAAUUCCACGUGUAGCAGUGAAAUGCGUAGAGAUGUGGAGGAAUACCGAUGGCGAAGGCAGCCCCCUGGGCCAAUACUGACGCUCAUGCACGAAAGCGUGGGGAGCAAACAGGAUUAGAUACCCUGGUAGUCCACGCCCUAAAACGAUGUCAACUAGUUGUUGGGGAUUCAUUUCCUUAGUAACGUAGCUAACGCGUGAAGUUGACCGCCUGGGGAGUACGGUCGCAAGAUUAAAACUCAAAGGAAUUGACGGGGUCAUAGCUU